AUACCAUGGUGAGGCACUUUCGAUCAAAUCUUUAAACCUCUCCCAAGCCUCAUGGAGAGAUUCAUUAUCUUGUUGGCAAAAGUUAUUAAUUUCUCCUCUCGCCU